rnacentral:rRNA from 1 species
UCGAACGAGGUCCAACCUUCGGGUGAAGACCGAGUGGCGAACGGGUGAGUAACACGUGGGGAACCUACCCUUCUCUCUGGGAUAACGCCGAGAAACCGGAGCUAAUACCGGAUACUCCUUGCGGACCGCAUGGUCUGCUUGGGAAAGCUCCGGCGGAGAAGGAUGGCCCCGCGGCCCAUUAGCUUGUUGGUGAGGUAACGGCCCACCAAGGCGACGAUGGGUAGCCGAGCUGAGAGGCUGAUCGGCCACACUGGGACUGAGACACGGCCCAGACUCCUACGGGAGGCAGCAGUGGGGAAUCUUGCGCAAUGGGCGAAAGCCUGACGCAGCAACGCCGCGUGCGGGAUGAAGGCCCUCGGGUCGUAAACCGCUUUCAGCAGGGAUGAAACUGACAGUACCUGCAGAAGAAGCCCCGGCUAAAUACGUGCC